rnacentral:rRNA from 1 species
AGUGAACGCUGGCGGCAGGCCUAACACAUGCAAGUCGAGCGGCAGCGCGUCCGACCACCCUCGGGUGGUCGGAUGGCGGCGAGCGGCGGACGGGUGAGGAAUGCAUCGGAAUCUGCCUCGUUGUGGGGGAUAACGUAGGGAAACUUACGCUAAUACCGCAUACGACCUACGGGUGAAAGUGGGGGACCUUCGGGCCUCACGCGAUGAGAUGAGCCGAUGCCGGAUUAGCUAGUUGGUGGGGUAAUGGCCUACCAAGGCGACGAUCCAUAGCUGAUUUGAGAGGAUGAUCAGCCACACUGGGACUGAGACACGGCCCAGACUCCUACGGGAGGCAGCAGUGGGGAAUAUUGCGCAAUGGGCGAAAGCCUGACGCAGCCACGCCGCGUGAGCGAUGAAGGCCUGGUCGUAAG